rnacentral:rRNA from 1 species
UUCCGGUUGAUCCUGCCGGAGGUCACUGCUAUCCGGAUUCGACUAAGCCAUGCUAAUCUUGGAAGCUUGCUUCCACGGUAAACAGCUCAGUAACACGUAGUUAAUUUACCCUAGGUCUGGUAUAAUCUCGGGAAACUGAAGCUAAUACCAGAUAGAUAAGGAUUCCUGGAAUGGUUCCUUAUCCAAAGUUCGCAAGAAUGCCUAAGGAUAAGACUGCGGCUCAUUAGGUUGUUGCUAGGUUAAGAUCCUAGCAAGCCUAUAAUGGGUACGGGCCCUGAGAGAGGAAGCCCGGAGAAGGAUUCUGAGACAAGAAUCCAGGUCCUACGGGACGCAGCAGGCGCGAAACUUCCCCAAUGCCCGAAAGGGUGAGGGAGGAAUCUGGAGUAUUCUCUCUUCUUGAGAGAAUUUUUACUGAGUGUAAAAAGCUCAGAGAAUAAGUGGUGGGUAAGACGGGUGCCAGCCGCCGCGGUAAUACCCGCGCCACGAGUGGUGACCACGUUUAUUGGGCUUAGAGUGUCUGUAGCCGGUCCGACAAGUUCUUAGUCAAAUCUCAUAGCUAACUAUGAAGCUUGCUAGGAAUACUAUCAGACUUGAGAUCGAGAGGGGUCGAGGGUAUUCUAGGAGUAGGGGUAAAAUCCUGUAAUCCCCAGAGGACCGCCUGUGGCGAAGGCGCUUGACUAGAGCGAAUCUGACGGUGAGGGACGAAAGCCAGGGGAGCAAAGGGGAUUAGAUACCCCCGUAGUCCUGGCUGUAAACGAUACCCACUAGGCGUUGAUAAUCUCAAGGGGGUUAUCAGUGCCGGAGCGAAAGCGUUAAGUGGGUCGCCUGGGGAGUAUGGUCGCAAGACUGAAACUUAAGGGAAUUGGCGGGGGAGUACACAAGGGGUGGAGGCUGCGGUUUAAUUGGAUUCAACGCCGGA